rnacentral:ncRNA from 1 species
CAACCUCAACUCAUAUGGGACUACCCCCUGAAUUUAAGCAUAUUAAUUAGGGGAGGAAAAGAAACUAACAAGGAUUUUCUUAGUAGCGGCGAGCGAAAAGAAAACAGUUCAGCACUAAGUCACUUUGUCUAUAUGGCAAAUGUGAGAUGCAGUGUAUGGAGCGUCAAUAUUCUAGUAUGAGAAAUUAAUGAUUUAAGUCCUUCUUAAAUGAGGCCAUUUACCCAUAGAGGGUGCCAGGCCCGUAUAACGUUAAUGAUUACUAGAUGAUGUUUCCAAAGAGUCGUGUUGCUUGAUAGUGCAGCACUAAGUGGGUGGUAAACUCCAUCUAAAACUAAAUAUAACCAUGAGACCGAUAGUAAACAAGUACCGUGAGGGAAAGUUGAAAAGAACUCUGAAUAGAGAGUUAAACAGUACGUGAAACUGCUUAGAGGUUAAACCCCAAGAAACCUGAAUAUCCCGUUAGGAAAAUUCCUCCUUUAAAUUGUAAAAAUUUUAAAAAAUAUUAUUAAAAAAAAAAGGCCUUUUUUUCCUAAAAAGGACAUUUUAAUCCAUUAACAAUUCCCCAAUUUUUUCAAAAAAAAAAAAUUUAAAAUUUUUUCCAAUUAAAAUUGCCUGGCCUUUUUAACAAAAAAAAA